UGGGGAAUAUUGGACAAUGGGCGCAAGCCUGAUCCAGCCAUGCCGCGUGAGUGAUGAAGGCCUUAGGGUUGUAAAGCUCUUUCGGCGGGGACGAUAAUGACGGUACCCGCAGAAGAAGCCCCGGCUAACUUCGUGCCAGCAGCCGCGGUAAUACGAAGGGGGCUAGCGUUGUUCGGAAUCACUGGGCGUAAAGCGCACGCAGGCGGAUCGUUAAGUCAGGGGUGAAAUGCCGAGGCUCAACCUCGGAACUGCCUUUGAUACUGGCGAUCUAUGAGUCCGGGAGAGGUGAGUGGAACUCCGAGUGUAGAGGUGAAAUUCGUAGAUAUUCGGAAGAACACCAGUGGCGAAGGCGGCUCACUGGCCCGGUACUGACGCUCAGGUGCGAAAGCGUGGGGAGCAAACAG
rnacentral:rRNA from 1 species